rnacentral:rRNA from 1 species
GGGUUGUGAGGUUAAGCGACUAAGCGUACACGGUGGAUGCCCUGGCAGUCAGAGGCGAUGAAGGACGUGCUAAUCUGCGAAAAGCGUCGGUAAGGUGAUAUGAACCGUUAUAACCGGCGAUGUCCGAAUGGGGAAACCCAGUGCAAUUCGUUGCACUAUCGUUAACUGAAUACAUAGGUUAACGAGGCGAACCGGGGGAACUGAAACAUCUAAGUACCCCGAGGAAAAGAAAUCAACCGAGAUUCCCCCAGUAGCGGCGAGCGAACGGGGAGCAGCCCAGAGUCUGAAUCAGCUUGUGUGUUAGUGGAACGGUCUGGAAAGUCCGACGGUACAGGGUGAUAGUCCCGUACACCAAAAUGCACAGGUUGUGAACUCGAAGAGUAGGGCGGGACACGUGGUAUCCUGUCUGAAUAUGGGGGGACCAUCCUCCAAGGCUAAAUACUCCUGACUGACCGAUAGUGAACCAGUACCGUGAGGGAAAGGCGAAAAGAACCCCGGCGAGGGGAGUGAAAAAGAACCUGAAACCGUGUACGUACAAGCAGUGGGAGCACCUUCGGGUGUGACUGCGUACCUUUUGUAUAAUGGGUCAGCGACUUAUAUUCUGUAGCAAGGUUAACCGUAUAGGGGAGCCGCAGGGAAACCGAGUCUUAACUGGGCGUUAAGUUGCAGGGUAUAGACCCGAAACCCGGUGAUCUAGCCAUGGGCAGGUUGAAGGUUGGGUAACACUAACUGGAGGACCGAACCGACUAAUGUUGAAAAAUUAGCGGAUGACUUGUGGCUGGGGGUGAAAGGCCAAUCAAACCGGGAGAUAGCUGGUUCUCCCCGAAAGCUAUUUAGGUAGCGCCUCGUGAACUCAUCUUCGGGGGUAGAGCACUGUUUCGGCUAGGGGGUCAUCCCGACUUACCAACCCGAUGCAAACUACGAAUACCGAAGAAUGUUAUCACGGGAGACACACGGCGGGUGCUAACGUCCGUCGUGAAGAGGGAAACAACCCAGACCGCCAGCUAAGGUCCCAAAGUCAUGGUUAAGUGGGAAACGAUGUGGGAAGGCACAGACAGCCAGGAUGUUGGCUUAGAAGCAGCCAUCAUUUAAAGAAAGCGUAAUAGCUCACUGGUCGAGUCGGCCUGCGCGGAAGAUGUAACGGGGCUAAACCAUGCACCGAAGCUGCGGCAGCGACACUAUGUGUUGUUGGGUAGGGGAGCGUUCUGUAAGCCUGCGAAGGUGUGCUGUGAGGCAUGCUGGAGGUAUCAGAAGUGCGAAUGCUGACAUAAGUAACGAUAAAGCGGGUGAAAAGCCCGCUCGCCGGAAGACCAAGGGUUCCUGUCCAACGUUAAUCGGGGCAGGGUGAGUCGACCCCUAAGGCGAGGCCGAAAGGCGUAGUCGAUGGGAAACAGGUUAAUAUUCCUGUACUUGGUGUUACUGCGAAGGGGGGACGGAGAAGGCUAUGUUAGCCGGGCGACGGUUGUCCCGGUUUAAGCAUGUAGGCUGAUUGUCCAGGCAAAUCCGGAUAAUCAAGGCUGAGGUGUGAUGACGAGGCACUACGGUGCUGAAGUAACAAAUGCCCUGCUUCCAGGAAAAGCCUCUAAGCAUCAGGUAACAUUAAAUCGUACCCCAAACCGACACAGGUGGUCAGGUAGAGAAUACCAAGGCGCUUGAGAGAACUCGGGUGAAGGAACUAGGCAAAAUGGUGCCGUAACUUCGGGAGAAGGCACGCUGGUGUGUAGGUGAAGUCCCUGCGGAUGGAGCUGAGACCAGUCGAAGAUACCAGCUGGCUGCAACUGUUUAUUAAAAACACAGCACUGUGCAAACACGAAAGUGGACGUAUACGGUGUGACGCCUGCCCGGUGCCGGAAGGUUAAUUGAUGGGGUUAUCCGUAAGGAGAAGCUCUUGAUCGAAGCCCCGGUAAACGGCGGCCGUAACUAUAACGGUCCUAAGGUAGCGAAAUUCCUUGUCGGGUAAGUUCCGACCUGCACGAAUGGCGUAAUGAUGGCCAGGCUGUCUCCACCCGAGACUCAGUGAAAUUGAACUCGCUGUGAAGAUGCAGUGUACCCGCGGCAAGACGGAAAGACCCCGUGAACCUUUACUAUAGCUUGACACUGAACAUUGAGCCUUGAUGUGUAGGAUAGGUGGGAGGCUUUGAAGCGUGGACGCCAGUCUGCGUGGAGCCAACCUUGAAAUACCACCCUUUAAUGUUUGAUGUUCUAACGUUGGCCCCUGACCGGGGUUGCGGACAGUGUCUGGUGGGUAGUUUGACUGGGGCGGUCUCCUCCCAAAGCGUAACGGAGGAGCACGAAGGUUAGCUAAUCCUGGUCGGACAUCAGGAGGUUAGUGCAAUGGCAUAAGCUAGCUUGACUGCGAGCGUGACGGCGCGAGCAGGUGCGAAAGCAGGUCAUAGUGAUCCGGUGGUUCUGAAUGGAAGGGCCAUCGCUCAACGGAUAAAAGGUACUCCGGGGAUAACAGGCUGAUACCGCCCAAGAGUUCAUAUCGACGGCGGUGUUUGGCACCUCGAUGUCGGCUCAUCACAUCCUGGGGCUGAAGUAGGUCCCAAGGGUAUGGCUGUUCGCCAUUUAAAGUGGUACGCGAGCUGGGUUUAGAACGUCGUGAGACAGUUCGGUCCCUAUCUGCCGUGGGCGCUGGAGAAUUGAGGGGGGCUGCUCCUAGUACGAGAGGACCGGAGUGGACGCAUCACUGGUGUUCGGGUUGUCAUGCCAAUGGCACUGCCCGGUAGCUAAAUGCGGAAGAGAUAAGUGCUGAAAGCAUCUAAGCACGAAACUUGCCCCGAGAUGAGUUCUCCCUGAGACUUUAAGUCUCCUGAAGGAACGUU